GCGACCUUUGGGGCUUAUCAGCCUUACUUAAUCAACCCCUGCGUUAUCUCUUAAUCAGGGUGUCCAGGGUUCGAAUCCCUGAAGGUGUACCA
rnacentral:tRNA from 1 species